GCUGGCGGCGUGCCUAACACAUGCAAGUCGAGCGAGAAAGUGGAGCAAUCCAUGAGUAAAGCGGCGCACGGGUGAGUAACACGUGACUGACCUACCCUCGAGUGGGGAAUAACUUCGGGAAACCGAGGCUAAUACCGCAUAACACCCACGGGUCAAAGGAGCAAUCCGCUUGAGGAGGGGGUCGCGGCCGAUUAGUUAGUUGGCGGGGUAAUGGCCCACCAAGACGAUGAUCGGUAUCCGGCCUGAGAGGGCGCACGGACACACUGGAACUGAAACACGGUCCAGACUCCUACGGGAGGCAGCAGUGGGGAAUUUUGCGCAAUGGGGGAAACCCUGACGCAGCAACGCCGCGUGGAGGAUGAAGUCCUUCGGGACGUAAACUCCUUUCGAUCGGGACGAUGAUGACGGUACCGAGAGAAGAAGCCCCGGCUAACUUCGUGCCAGCAGCCGCGGUAAUACGAGGGGGGCGAGCGUUGUUCGGAAUUAUUGGGCGUAAAGGGUGCGUAGGCGG
rnacentral:rRNA from 1 species